GACAGAGGGUGCAAACGUUGUUCGGAAUUACUGGGCGUAAAGCGCGUGUAGGCGGCUGCGCAAGUCGGGUGUGAAAGCCCUGGGCUCAACCCAGGAAGUGCACUCGAUACUACUCAGCUAGAGUAUGGGAGAGGGUAGUGGAAUUCCCGGUGUAGCGGUGAAAUGCGUAGAUAUCGCUUGGAACGCCGGCGGCGAAAGCGGGUGACUGGGAGUCUUCUGACGCUGAGACACGAAAGCCAGGGGAGCGAACGGG
rnacentral:rRNA from 1 species